ensembl:piRNA 21ur-1178 ncRNA
UGUACUGAUUUAAAUGAAGUU